rnacentral:rRNA from 1 species
GGGUCAGUAGGUUGGUCGUGCCACCGGUACGUACUGCUCUCACUGAUUCCUCCUUCCUGAAGAACAGUAAUGCCAUUAAGUUGGUGUUGCGGGGAAAAAGGACUGUUACUUUGAAAAAAUUAGAGUGUUUAAAGCAAGCUAACGCUUGAAUACAUUAGCAUGGAAUAAUGAAAUAGGACGAUCGAUCCUAUUUUGUUGGUUUCUAGGAUUGACGUA